rnacentral:lncRNA from 10 species
GAUUUUCUAUACUUUUGUUUCUACUUUUAAAAAUAAUCACGUUUUUUCUUUAUAUAUGAUAUUUAUAUUUUACAGAAGAGCACAAUUAGUCACAAAAAGCUUCAGCAACAUUGAUUAUUAAUGGAUCCAGGAUUUAGAACUGGACAGUCCGAAUCUAGAGUCCUCCCUCUUAAAGACUACAGGAUACCAUUAAGGAAAAUUCACUGUGAAUGUUAUCAGAUAUAUUUACAUAUUAAUUUGUGAAUGCUGUUUGAUAUUUAACCCUCCGAGGCUAGAGCUCGAGGCAAACAAAUCCUACCCAGUAAGAAUGCGUUGGGGCUGCUUAACAAGAAGGAUCCCAAGAAAGGUUAGUUUAUCAGGUGCUCAAGGAAGAUGGAGGAAACCGUUUAAGAAUCAGCAGAUAUCUCCAAAAGCCCUAUCCCUGGGGAAGCAGCCAGUCUUGGAGUCUGAUUGGAAACCCAAAGAAGGCUGGUUACACAGGUAAAGCAAAUGUCAUGCCGUGUGAGAGGUCAGACUUGCCCAGGUCUCCUCGGGCUCUCCUACUUCUAUUUAGGGGAUGAAUCAUAAACUGGCAUAUUUACAUGGGUAGAUAAAUUAUUUUUAUCAUACUUACUAUUAUAACAUAUUUUACAUCAAACAAGACAAUACAGAUAUUCUUACCUCUAAAUAACAAGGAAGAAACUGAGGCUCACUCACUUGCCAAGGUUAUAAAUCCCAGAAACAGAGUUCAAACUCGGCUCUUUGAACUUCAAAUGAAGUAGUCUCUCCCAUUUGCCAAACUGCAUUCUGUUUAAUAAAUUCUAGAAACACAGGCAGCUAAUUCCUAAUGUAGAAUUAUUCAUCAUUGAAGUCUCUGUGCUGUCAAAUCUAAUUGACUUCGUGUAUGAGAAGGUGGGUGUGGUAAAAUCUUAGUGUGCUGUUUUUUUGAUAUUUAUCUUAGCUGGCGCUUAUAAUGGAUGUAGGUUCAUUGCCUACAGGAUACAGUAUCUUGGAGUUAAGGGUUAGCACUAAGAUUUUUAUUAUAUAAACAAAAACCAUUGACAUAAUCCAAAGUCUAAACUCUGAAAUAUUAUAUAAAAUACCUGCUUUAUUUUUUAUUUCCUAGGAAACAAGAGAACUUCCAUAAUUUCUUUCUCAAUUACAUUAUAAAUCAAGAGGACAUGCCCAUCUCCACCACAGAACUGCUACAGGUUGCAGAUUCUACAAUCUACCCUUCCUCCCAAGUCUCCCCAGAGCUGUAUGUUUCUCAUCCUUCAACUCUGCUCAAAUGUUCCCUGUACAGGUAAGUUAUUCAUAAACACCAUGAAAAAUAUUUCCCCAACUUCCUCCCAAUCACUAUUCUGUUACUCUGGUUUCUAUGGUAAUUAUUAGUGUCUGGAAUUCCAUUAUUUAUUUUUGCAUUUGUUUGUUUUCUUACCCCCCAGAUAGUAGGCUCCAAGAUGGCAGCAACUCAUUCACCCUCUUGGUUUCUCCAAGAGGCUUAUGGUGGAUUCCAAGACAGCCCACCACAUCCCGUCUUCUGGCAGGUGUCCCCACCCCUUAGCUGGAGUUGGCUAAAUAGCAGCUGCCUUCUCUGAGGAGUUCCCUUGCUCUCACCUAGGAGGCAACAUGCCUGUUACUACAACUGAAACUCUGCCACUGAUGACUGACAGAGGGUACAAAAGCCUGCCCACCUUCACCAAGGUAGGAUGGCUAGCUCUUAAGCAC